rnacentral:rRNA from 1 species
GACGAACGCUGGCGGCGUGCCUAAUACAUGCAAGUUGAGCGCUGAAGGUUGGUACUUGUCCCAACUGGUUGAGCAGCGAACGGGUGAGUAACGCGUGGGGAAUCUGCCUUUGAGCGGGGGACAACAUUUGGAAACGAAUGCUAAUACCGCAUAAAAACUUUAAACACAAGUUUUAAGUUUGAAAGAUGCAAUUGCAUCACUCAAAGAUGAUCCCGCGUUGUAUUAGCUAGUUGGUGAGGUAAAGGCUCACCAAGGCGAUGAUACAUAGCCGACCUGAGAGGGUGAUCGGCCACAUUGGGACUGAGACACGGCCCAAACUCCUACGGGAGGCAGCAGUAGGGAAUCGUCGGCAAUGGACGAAAGUCUGACCGAGCAACGCCGCGUGAGUGAAGAAGGGUUUCGGAUCGUAAAACUCUGUUGGUAGAGAAGAACGUUGGUGAGAGUGGAAAGCUCAUCAAGUGACGGUAACUACCCAGAAAGGGACGGCUAACUACGUG